CUCAGCACAGGAAACCAGGGUGUCUGCCUUCUGAGCGCUAACCCUAGAGCCCCAAACCCUGGCUUGUGUUCAUACAGCUCCAGUCCACACUGCCCUACCUCUGCCAGAACCUGAGGUUCCUGGCUCCUGUGCCCAUGUGGCUUAUGGCCAUGUGGGACCCUACACAUGGACUAACUGGCUUUAAUCGCAUGGAUGCUGAAGGACACCCCGCUACAACAUGGAACAGAAGCCGCAACACUGGCCUGAACCCUGCUGCACCUUUUCCAGGACUGGCUUCUCAAUAAACUUUGGUUCUGCUAA